AAGCAUGUAUGUGGACUAAUGAUUACAUUUGAACACAAAAUUCUGGCAGACCACUAUAAUUUUAAUGAACCUGCCACAGCCUUCUUAAAGGCUCCUUCCUUUGUUGUGCAGCUUCUAAGGACAUCGUCAUGGUUCAAGUGCUGUAACAGUGGAAGACAGCAGGAUUCAAAUGACAGAGAGAACUGGGAGUACCACUUUAGUUUUCACCACAACAAUGGCCAAGAGCACCUCAAGGAGAUGAGUUGGCAAUGGUUCAUGGUGCAGAGGGAGGGCCAAGAGCAAAGGCAUGCUCUCUGGGGAGUCCCAGAUGGAAUUUCAGGCCACAGUGAAACAGAGAUGGGCCAACAGAGGAAGAGCUAGGCAGCUCUGAGACUCCUUGGAUGGAUGGCUGCAUCGAUCUUCCAGCAGUGCACCACCCUGGAGAAGCACCAUGAGGAAGGUACGUUAAGAAUAACCCCAAAUGUGUGCAUG
rnacentral:lncRNA from 1 species